GGCAGUGUGGCGUAAUGGUAAGGAGCACGGCUCAUAACCGCAAGGCUGCUGGUUCAAUUCCAUACUGGGUCA